GAUGAACGCUAGCGGCAGGCCUAACACAUGCAAGUCGAGGGAGAAGCCCUUCGGGGCAGAAACCGGCGCACGGGUGCGUAACGCGUAUGCAACCUACCUUUCACAGGGGGAUAGCCCGAAGAAAUUUGGAUUAAUACCCCAUAAUAUUAUUGGGUGGCAUCAUUUGAUAAUUAAAAUUACGAUGGUGAAAGAUGGGCAUGCGUCCUAUUAGCUAGUUGGAGUGGUAACGGCACCCCAAGGCUACGAUAGGUAGGGGUCCUGAGAGGGAGAUCCCCCACACUGGUACUGAGACAGGGACCAGACUCCUACGGGAGGCAGCAGUGAGGAAUAUUAGUCAAUGGUCGGAAGACUGAACCAGCCAUGCCGCGUGCAGGAAGAAUGCCUUAUGGGUUGUAAACUGCUUUUAUAUGGGAAGAAUAAGGAGUACGUGUACUUUGAUGACGUACCAUAUGAUAAGCUUCG
rnacentral:rRNA from 1 species